GCGGGUGUGGCGGAACGGUAGACGCGCUACGUUCAGGUCGUAGUGAUCGCAAGGUCGUGGAGGUUCAACUCCUCUCACCCGCACCA
rnacentral:tRNA from 1 species